rnacentral:rRNA from 1 species
UGGUGGAGUGAUUUGUCUAGUUAAUUCCGUUAACGAACGAGACUACUGCCUGCUAAAUAGCCCAGUGAGUGAAUCUUCACUGACUGCUGGCUUCUUAGAGGGACGUGCAUUCUAUCAGAUGCAGGAGGAUAGUGGCUAUAACA